rnacentral:misc_RNA from 1 species
AACGCAUAUUGCACUCUCUGGUAAUCCGGAGAGUAUGCCUGUUUGAGGGUCAGUAAAUAAUAAUUAUCAUGAAUCUUUGAUUUAUGGAAUUGGGCUUUUAUUUCGAUAGAUCUAUGGCCUUAAAUUUACGUUAUGGGCUUGUCAUAUAAAAUCCAAUCUAAAGGAGCAAUUAAACAUUCUCUCAUUAGUGGAUUUUUACAAGCCAUUACGAUUUUUGGUUGCUUUUCAGCACUUUUGCGAGUGCGAAACCAAGAUUGUAAGCUUACUCUAACAAUGACCUCAAAUCAGGCAAGAAUACCCGCUGAACUUAA